AAUUGGGAGAAGAGACUUGGGUUAGUGAUAGAGAUCUGGGAAUUUUUCUGGAAUUUCUGCUUUGGGUCAAAAAUCUGACUGGUUGAUCUCUGACGUUGCUUCCUGCUGUAAACAUUCUAGGACUGGAGCUGGACCUGGUGGCUUGCUCCUGUAAUCCAAGCACUCGGGAGGCUGAGGCGGGAAGAUCACUGGGCAUUCAAAGCCAGCCUGGGCUACGCAUAGCCCCUGCAGAGGAGUUGUGAGUUGCUUCAGACUGCAGAGGCCAGGCUAGUAGAGCAUUCAUGGUCAGAGCAAGUAUCUUCUGGGAAUCUUCAUUUUUUGUCCGGUUGGCAGUUGGAUCUGAUUGCAGUGAAGCUUGAGGAUCACUCCAGGUGAUAUCUCAAAGGGACCUCUGUCUCUGCACAGUUGGCGUUGCCGGGACUUGAAGUCUUGGACAGAUACAAAGCUCCAGGAGAUGGACGGAUUCAGUGAAGAUGCCAGUGCGCUGAUUUACACUGAAAAGCAUCCCUGCUGCCAGAGCAACCGACACUUGGGGCUGCUGACAAGCACAUUCCCCACCACCCUUGCUGUCACACAAGGGGACCGACCCCAAGUUCAGGGGAAAGGUCACCUGGGCAGCAUGGCAGCUGCCAAGGAGACCUAGCCAAGUGGUCUUCACAGUGGUGCCAACCUCUUAGGCAGGAACAGCAAGGGAUCACAUUCAGGGCACCCUUGCCCAGCACAGCUCUGGACCGCACCCUCCACACAGUUAAUGCCACAAAGACAGCCUCUCUGGGUUAGCACAGUCUCCUGCCAGAACUUGGUGGUUACUUGGGGAGUGUGUCUGAAAUGCACACAGGUCCACUCGCACUUGUCACUGCAGGGAUGAAACAAGACAGCACAUGAACCUGCUUUGUAAGCAGCACACCACGGAAGAAUGCCUCGGGGAUGAGAGCAGGGAUGAAUUCAUGUUUCCCAAGGGCCUCCACCUGCCUCUCUGGCUCCAGCCCCUCAGACAGGGGACUCUGAUAGUUCAGCCAGCGAAAGCAGUGGUGUUUACGACUCACUGAUCACACCAGUUACAGAUUUCUUUUUUCCUUCUCUGCUCCCACUGCUUCAUGUGACUAUUAAAAAAAGAACAGAACCCUUGAAAACCCAUCCCCUAAUAAACGCAUCAAUAUAUACUGAGACCUUAGUAUUGUUCUAGGUGCCUCGGAAAAUAUAGAAGCAAUUAAGCCAUUGUCCACUCCCUGAAGGAAUUUAUAUAUAAUAAAGUUGGAGCCAUAAACAGAC